GGAGGUAUACCCAAGUGGCUGAAGGGAUCGGUCUUGAAAACCGACAGGCGGGUCAAACCGCGCGGGGGUUCGAAUCCCUCUACCUCCUCCA
rnacentral:tRNA from 2 species